GCCAGGCAUGGUGGUGCAUGCCUGUAGUCCCAGCUACUUGGGAGGCUGAGAUAGGAGGAUGCUUGAGUCCAGGAGUUCUGGGCUGUAGUGCGCUAUGCCGAUUGGGUGUCCGCACUAAGUUCAGUAUCAAUAUGGUGACCUCCCAGGAGAAGGGGGAGACCACCAGGUUGCCCAAGGAGGGGUGAACUGGCCCAGGUCGGAACCAGAGCAGGUCAAAGCUCCUAUGCUAAUCAUAGUGAGAUCAUAGCUAUGAAUAGCCGCUGCACUCUAGCCUGGGCAACAUAAUGAGACCCUAUCUCUU
rfam:Otolemur garnettii contig101970, whole genome shotgun sequence.